CUCCUCGUAGUUCAACGGAUAGAACAGAAGGUUUCUAACCUUCAUAUGGGGGUUCGAUUCCCUCCGAGGAGA
rnacentral:tRNA from 1 species